rnacentral:rRNA from 1 species
AUAUCAAUAAGCGGAGGAAAAGAAACCAACCGGGAUUGCCUCAGUAACGGCGAGUGAAGCGGCAAGAGCUCAAAUUUGAAAUCUGGCCCCCCCGGGGGUCCGAGUUGUAAUUUGGAGAGGAUGCUUGGGUUCGGUCCCGGUCCAAGUGCCCUGGGACGGGCCGUCGGAGAGGGUGAGAAUCCCGUCUGCGACCGGUGACUGGGCCUGGGUGAAGCUCCCUCGACGAGUCGAGUUGUUUGGGAAUGCAGCUCUAAAUGGGUGGUAAAUUUCAUCUAAAGCUAAAUAUGGGCCGGAGACCGAUAGCGCACAAGUAGAGUGAUCGAAAGAUGAAAAGCACUUUGGAAAGAGAGUCAAACAGCACGUGAAAUUGUUGAAAGGGAAGCGCUUGCGAUCAGACUCGCCCGGGGAGGUUCAGCUGGCACUUGUGCCGGUGCAUAUUCCUACCCGGGCGGGCCAGCGUCGGUUCGGACGGCCUGUCAAAGGCCCCCGGAAGGUAGCGCCCUUCGGGGCGUCUUAUAGCCGGGGGUGUCAUGCGGCCUGUCCGGACCGAGGAACGCGCCUUUGGGCUCGGACGCUGGCGUAAUGGUCGUAAGCGGCCCGUCUUGAAACACGGACCAAGGAGUCUAACAUCCACGCGAGUGUUCGGGUGUUCAAAACCCGUCCGCGCAGUGAAAGCGAACGGAGGUGGGAACCCCCUUGUGGGGUGCACCAUCGACCGAUCCUGAUGUCUUCGGAUGGAUUUGAGUAGGAGCGUGGCUGUUGGGACCCGAAAGAUGGUGAACUAUGCCUGAAUAGGGCGAAGCCAGAGGAAACUCUGGUGGAGGCUCGCAGCGGUUCUGACGUGCAAAUCGAUCGUCAAAUUUGGGUAUAGGGGCGAAAGACUAAUCGAACCAUCUGGUAGCUGGUUCCUGCCGAAGUUUCCCUCAGGAUAGCAGUAACGAGAUCAGUUUUAUGAGGUAAAGCGAAUGAUUAGAGGCCUUGGGGUUGAAACAACCUUAACCUAUUCUCAAACUUUAAAUAUGUAAGAAGCCCUUGUUGCUUUGUUGAACGUGGGCGCUGGAAUGGAUCGUUACUAGUGGGCCAUUUUUGGUAAGCAGAACUGGCGAUGCGGGAUGAACCGAACGCGAGGUUAAGGUGCCGGAAUGCACGCUCAUCAGACACCACAAAAGGUGUUAGUUCAUCUAGACAGCCCGACGGUGGCCAUGGAAGUCGGAAUCCGCUAAGGAGUGUGUAACAACUCACGGGCCGAAUGAACUAGCCCUGAAAAUGGAUGGCGCUCAAGCGUGCUACCCAUACCUCGCCGUCGGGGUAGCAACGAUGCCCCGACGAGUAGGCAGGCGUGGGGGUCGGUGACGAAGCCUUGGGAGUGAUCCUGGGUGGAACGGCCCCUAGUGCAGAUCUUGGUGGUAGUAA